rnacentral:rRNA from 1 species
GAUGAACGCUGACGGCGUGCCUAAUACAUGCAAGUCGAGCGAACAGACGAGGAGCUUGCUUCUCUGACGUUAGCGGCGGACGGGUGAGUAACACGUGGAUAACCUACCUAUAAGACUGGGAUAACUUCGGGAAACCGGAGCUAAUACCGGAUAAUAUAUUGAACCGCAUGGUUCAAUAGUGAAAGACGGUCUUGCUGUCACUUAUAGAUGGAUCCGCGCUGCAUUAGCUAGUUGGUAAGGUAACGGCUUACCAAGGCAACGAUGCAUAGCCGACCUGAGAGGGUGAUCGGCCACACUGGAACUGAGACACGGUCCAGACUCCUACGGGAGGCAGCAGUAGGGAAUCUUCCGCAAUGGGCGAAAGCCUGACGGAGCAACGCCGCGUGAGUGAUGAAGGUCUUCGGAUCGUAAAACUCUGUUAUUAGGGAAGAACAAAUGUGUAAGUAACUAUGCACGUCUUGACGGUACCUAAUCAGAAAGCCACGGCUAACUACGUG